CAAUAGCGUAUAUUAAAGUUGCUGCAGUUAAAAAGCUCGUAGUUGGAUUUGUGGCUGUCACGGGCGGCCUAUCACUUAGUGUUAGUGCUUGCCUGUGUCGCCAUCCUUGGGUGGAGCCCGUGUGGCAUUAGGUUGUCGUGCGGGGGAUGCCCAUCGUUUACUGUGAGAAAAUUAGAGUGUUCAAAGCAGGCUUAUGCCAUUGAAUAUGUUAGCAUGGAAUAAUAAGAUAGGACCUCGGUACUAUUUUGUUGGUUUGCGCACCGAGGUAAUGAUUAAUAGGGACAGUUGGGGGUAUUCGUAUUUCAUUGUCAGAGGUGAAAUUCUUGGAUUUCUGAAAGACGAACUACUGCGAAAGCAUUUACCAAGGAUGUUUUCAUUAA
rnacentral:rRNA from 1 species